CCCGCCAACCCAGAGAAGUGCGUGAGGUUCCACGCAUUAGUCCUGAUGUUAAUGCUCGUGCUUAGGAAAGAGUUGUAUAUACACGCAGCCGUGUGGGAGAGCCUUCGAGCAGACAGAGAAGGUCCAGAGUGAGGGUUGGCGGAAGCGACGAUAAGAGGCAGGAACCACAGCUGGAGGUCAGAAGUCUGAAAAUGAGACGCAUGGGGCUAAAAUCAAGGUGUUGACAGAGCUGAGCUCCUUCUGGGAAGAAUUUUGC